GGCAGUUUACGGUUCUACGUUGUGUGAGUACCUAUUGUUUUGUAUUUCUAAUUUAUAUACAUUAUUGCCGUGUUUACUGUCUCCCGAGGACUUAAAACACUGCUUGUGAAUAAAAAGAAUCAUAAUUUAUAUUUGGUUGCUUAUUACUUAAUAUUUACCCGGAGUUGAGCAGAGUUAUAUGGGAUCAACACCAUUUUUAAUUAAUCUAGUUGGCAAAAUGGCCAAUCGUCUAGCUUUGAUCUUUAUUGUGUUAGCUUCUUACCUAUAAGUCAUGCUUGUAAUUUGUCAAUUAUAGAGUUUUGAAGCUGUAUAAUAUGUUCAAAAUUAAACCUGAAAAUGACGAUGCAGAAGAAUACUCUGUUGAAUAAACGUUCGGAGUCGUUGAACCAAAACCGUUAGAUGUGCUGUUCAAAACCAUUGAAAUAUCUACAACAGAGGAGUAUUUGGUUAAGAAUGAAGUCGAUGAUACUUAUGAAGUUUUGAAGCGGUAUAAUAUAUUAAAAAUUAAACCUGAAAAUGACGAUGCAGAAGAAUGCUCCUUUGAAAAAUCUAAACCGUUAGAUGUGCUGUUCAUAAACAAUUCAAUUUCUACAACAGAGGAGAAUUUGGUAAAGAAUGAAGUCGACAAUACUUAUGGUAUUAAUUUUCCGUGUAAAGCGACCGAUACCUCAAACAAUACAAAAACCAUGGAUUGCAGUUUGAACAAAACUAUAGAAAACGAUUCUGAGAAAAACAUACACAAAAUACGUCGGUUUGACUGCAAUAUAUGUCAAAGAAGGUUUACAACCAAAAGUAAUAUAAUCCGGCAUAUUGCGAAAUCGCAUUCCAGUACUUCCAUUGCAAAGAAAACACCUCAAAAAAAUAAAGUCAAUCAUCGUAACAGCAAAAUCAAAGGGUAUACUCGAAAUAAAGAUGGCCUAUUUAAUUGUGGUAUUUGUUUGAAAAGUUGUUCAUCAAAAUCAAGCCUGAGAAGACAUUGGCGCGUUCAUACCGGCGAGAAGCCCUUUAAAUGCAAUAUUUGUGAAAAAAAAUUUGGUCAGAUAUCUCACCUCAAAACUCAUAAACGCAUAC